rnacentral:rRNA from 1 species
GACGAACGCUGGCGGCGUGCUUAACACAUGCAAGUCGAACGAUGUGGCGAACGGGUGAGUAACGCGUAAUAAACCGGCCCUUCAGAGGGGGACAACAGGUGGAAACGACUGAUAGUACCGCAUACUGAAGGAGGGGAGUGCGUCUGAUGCGCCAGUUGGAGGGGUAACGGCCCACCAAGGAGUUGAUCAGUAGCAGGUCUGAGAGUUUGAACGGCCACAUUGGGACUCAGACGCGGCCCAGACUCCUGCUGGAGGCAGCAGUGGGGAAUCUUCCCCAAUUGACGAAAGUCUGACGGAGCAACGCCGCGUGAGUGAUGACGGCCUUCGGGUUUUAAAGCUCUGUUAAUCGGGACGCGAUACCGGCAUAGAAAGCCACGGCUAACUACGUGCCAGCAGCCGCGGUAAUAC